rnacentral:hammerhead_ribozyme from 2 species
AUCCAGCUGACGAGUUCCAAAUAGGAAGGAACGCACAUCCUGGAU